rnacentral:RNase_P_RNA from 1 species
CCGGGUGGCUGGGCGGCCGCUGGUCGAGGGAGCCGCCACACCACAAAGGUGUGUGGUCGGUACCCUCGGCGAGAGGAAAGUCCGGGCUCCAAAGGACACGGUGGUGGGUAAUGCCCACCGGCCGAAAGGCCAGGGAAAGUGCCACAGAAACCAGACCGCCUCCCGGAGUGGGCAAACCCGCUUCGGGCGGUAAGGGUGAAAGGGUGAGGUAAGAGCUCACCAGCAGGCCGGGUGACCGGUCUGGCUAGGUAAACCCCACCGGGAGCAAGGUCAAGCAGAGGGGAGAAGCAGGUCCAAUAUCUUGAGGACCUGCUCGCGAGUUGGUCCGGCUCGCCACCUACCCUCGGGUAGACCGCUAGAAUUGCCGAGCAAUCGGCAAUCUAGAUGAAUGGCCGCCGCCCCGAAGAGGGGAACAGAACCCGGCUUACAGGCCAUCUGGUACU